CAUCUAGGCCUACGACAACUACUAAUUUUUAAAAUGACAAUUGUUGUUUUUGACUUGAGAGAGAUUUCCAGAAAUGUACCCAUGAUGUGUCUACAGUGCAGCAAAAUGGAUUAAAGUCAAUUGCAGCAAAACCAGGUUGUGAAAUGCAGUGGGCAAAGCUGAACUACUAUAAGUUCAGUACAUGUAAUAGCCAAUUCGUAGAGCAUUAUAGAAGCUUUCAGACCUACUGCAGAAUUCAAAACCAACACCUCAAACCCAGGGGCUAGUGACGUCCUUUUUUGCCAGCUUCAAGGAUUCAACCAUAUUUAAGUAUUCGAAGGAGCUCACUAUCGAAUAAUUAUUUGUUUAUACCUUGCGAUUUCAAAGCGCUGACGACAUCCGAAAAAAAUGCUUAUGAUACCAAUGUUAUUUGCAUGGUGUAAAGUAAUAAUAUACAUUUUAUAUAUUAGGUAAAUCACAAGAUUAAUUUCUCACAUUAAAUAUAUAUUGCUCUUUGCUGUGUAAAAGCACAUAUAGAGUAGAUCUAUAUUUAUUGUUGUGCCAAGUGUCUCAUGAAAUCUUCUCAUAUUCAUUCCAAAAGCAAUAAGCUACCAAGUAUCAGUACAAUAGAUAUAAAAUUGUGAAGAAAUGUGUAAUAAACACUAAUGAUUGUAAUAAUAAAUGGUGUUUGGAGUCCUUUAUUUGUUAUGUAUUGUAUUUUUUCAUAUUUUAAAACAACUGCGGUUCAUAUGGUGGGUAGCAUAAAUUUAAUUAUUUUUGUUUUUACAGUAUAGUAUGUUGUACAUUAUAAUUGUGUUAAAUUUUUCAAUCAAGUGUGGGCAGUGUAGCUGUUAUUAGCCAAAAAGCCAAAUCCUAAUAAAACUGAAUUUUGCUAAAUAUAUUUUUUAUAAACCAUAAAGCUGAUGGAAUUGAAACUUUUGCUGCUUAUAUUCAUUGUUUUGGCAAGUCAAAUUUCUGUUUUGCUAAUUAAUGUCAUACCAAAUUAGCUAAAUUGUGAGACAAAAUCUCUUAUGCUUUUUUCACUUUGUUGUAUCCAGCCAUGAAAUGUUCCCGUAGUGGGAUGAAUAGUAUCUUUAAUAGUAUACAAAAGUAUCUUUGUAUUGUAUCCUUGUAAAACUAUGUUUUUUUAAAUAAAAAUUAUAAUUUAAGUAAUUGUAAAAUGAAGACAGACUUUGGUGGCUUUGUGUAAGGCCAAAGGAAAAAAUAUGUUUGUUUGCUCUCCUCAACCCGCCCCUAACUCACUGGAAAAAAUAGGGGUGGAAAAACAAAAAAACUUUUUUUUAGCUUUUUCUUUACAAUUAAAAAGAAAAUGUGAGUGAAUUUAUUUUCAUUUUUUGCCAGAUGUGCUACAAUCUCAGAAUUGCUAAUUGGCUGGUAACUUCAGCACUUUCUUAAAUGUGUUUUGCUGCUUGUGUGCAACAUGUUGCUCAAGUUUAUUAUAACUUAUUUCAUAUAUAGUUGAGGAAGUUUUAUUUAUUUGGUUUAAAUUUGCUAAUACCUAUCUAGAGCUGAUUUGAAAGUU